CUUUGAAGAAAAUCACUUUUAAUACUAAUAAAAAUAUUUUUAAAAAUCCGGGUCAUUACAAUCUACCCUCCUUAUAGGGAUUCCGUCCUCGGAAUCAGAAAAAGAAGGAGGACGCAUAAUCAGUAUAAUCCAUAUUAAUCCAUAGAACAAGUAUCAUCACAUAGAACUAUUCACAUAGUCAAUUCACUUUUCAAUUAAAGCCAACAACAAUAUUUAGACAAAUAGAUUUACAAUAAUCAAAUCUAAAUUUUAAUAAUAUGGGAUAUUACAUUCUACCCCCCUUAUUAGGAUUCUGUCCUCAGAAUCCGCGAUGAGAACUAAAACGUAUCAUUUAUAAGAUCAUUAUACACGCUUCAUAAUAUCACAUGCUCAUCUGCCUUUGAUCAACUUUGGCAUACCUUCAAAGUUAAAGAAAUAGGAGAAUCAAAACCUUCACACUUGCAAACUUCAUUUCCCAAGAAUCAAUCUUUGGGAAUUUCGGAGGAACCAGAUAUUUUCAAAAUAGGUCACAUUGGAAUACAAGAGUGACUGGGAGAUCAAUACGAUCAAAUGAACUUCAUGUUGCGUGUCCAUAUUAGACACUACUAAAGGUUUUUAACCUUCUUGUAAUCACAACACACACAAGUGAUGGCGUCCCAUCCAACUCCUAUCACACAGACAGGUAUACCUUGUGUCCCCUAUACAUAGGGUUGUUCAUCCCAAUCAGAUGGAAAGAAUCCAAGAAAUCUCAAGGAGCAUCAAGGAAUGUUAAGGAUUAUCGAGGAAUAUAUUAAGGAAUAUCGAAAAGAUAUCAAGGAAUAUCAAAGAGUGUCAAAGAAUAUCAACGAAUAUCAACGGAUAUCAAAAAUAUCAAAGAACAUCAAGGGAUAUCCAAGAAGAUGAAAGAAUAUCAAGGACUGUCAAGAAAUGUCAAACAAUAUCAAGGAACAUCAUUGUCUCUUCACAACAAUCCUUUAUCACACAUCUUUGUUUUCCAACUCAUACCAAUCAUCAAUAUCAAUGUCAUCUUAGAAUUUGAGAAAUUGAAGAUCUCAUUUAUCAAAACUUUUGUAGAAAAGAUAUCAUGAUAAUAUCUCACUGAUGAGAAAACAAUCAAAAGAAUCUUUAGUUGAAGAGAGGUAUUGCCAAGGUCUUCUCAGAUUCCCACUCUACUUUACAAAAUCGUUAUUCGAUUUAUGUCAUCCUUUCAACGUUCUCGAUAAUCAAUCGAUUUGACUCGUAAUAGCCUCGUAAUAUGUCAUCGUAGACGUUAUCGUUCGUAAUAAGUCUGGCCCAAGUAGUUCACGUUCUCAUGCUUCAUCCAGUUGCCUUUGAAGUCCAUAACACAACACGUAGCAUAUCUUCGAUUUUCUGAAUCGUCGCCCUGUGGGUUAUGGGCCCACCUUGUCCCACUUAACUUAAAACAUCGUCGUCGAGAAUUAACGUUCUAACUUACUUGCACACAUCACCUCUAACAACUGGACUCAACUCCAUAUACUCCCUAUCAUGCACUUCUCAUCUAUCAACUUCUAUCUACAAAUCUCUCCUCCUAAUUCAGUACAACUCAUAUCUUACACUAACUCUUCAUAUCUCACUAACACCAUAUACCUCUUCCAAAUAUCUGACAUGGUCAACAUACUAUGAACCAUGCAUCUUUAUCAUUCUCAAAUCAAUACAAUAAUCCAAUUUCAAAUAUGCAGUAUAGUCAGAAUACUCUGAACUCUGCAUUUUCACCAUUCUCAACUCAAUCAUUCACUAUCAAACUCUUCUAUAUAGGUCUAAUACUGACCUUUUCCACAAUUCACCAUCUCAAUUAAUCAACAUACUAGAAAUCAUAUGUCUAAACUUAAGAAUCCUAAUCUCUUUAAAUAUCCACACUUAACUUGAUCAACUAACUAAACUCUAUUCUUCACUCACAUCUCUAGACUAUUCCUAAAUAGUCCAACCAUAUCUCUAUGUGAGGUUACACCGCAUUCUUCUCUAGAAAACCUAUAACUAUGAUCUAUAUUCUAAUUUCAAAUACUUAUAGCCUGUGGCUCUGAUACCAACUGUGACGGUCCAGGAAUCCGGGGGCCUGGAUUCUGACGUCACCACACAAAAACCAUUUUAAAACACUUUGAAAACCUGUAUUUUUUUUUAUAAAGAUAAUAAAACCAAAGAAUUUAAAACCUGAAAACAUUUAAUAAAAGAUUUGAAUGAGAACAUAAAUCGAAUGAUUUCAAAACCUGAAUUUCAAACUUGAAAGCCAUAAUAGGAGAAUUUCAAGAGAACAUUUAAACUUUAAUAAAUGAUUCGAAAGAGAACAUUUAAACCCCCUAAAAGCAACAGGAUCGCAUCCAGGUUACAGUAUUGAAAUUAG
rnacentral:lncRNA from 1 species